rfam:Pseudoruegeria sp. SK021 NODE_190_length_244_cov_718.974, whole genome shotgun sequence.
AGCUUAUUUUGCCCAGGCGGAGCUCGACCGCCCAUUCAAACGAUGAUCCGGUUCAUAGAGGAUCAUCGCGGGGACCAUGGGGUCGAGCCAAUUUGCAGGGUUCUGCCGAUUGCCCCA